rnacentral:rRNA from 1 species
CCUACGGGCGGCACCAGUGGGGAAUAUUGCACAAUGGGCGCAAGCCUGAUGCAGCCAUGCCGCGUGUAUGAAGAAGGCCUUCGGGUUGUAAAGUACUUUCAGCGGGGAGGAAGGCGGUGAGGUUAAUAACCUCACCGAUAGACGUUACCCGCAGAAGAAGCACCGGCUAACUCCGUGCCAGCAGCCGCGGUAAUACGGAGGGUGCAAGCGUUAAUCGGAAUUACUGGGCGUAAAGCGCACGCAGGCGGUUUGUUAAGUCAGAUGUGAAAUCCCCGGGCUCAACCUGGGAACUGCAUCUGAUACUGGCAAGCUUGAGUCUCGUAGAGGGGGGUAGAAUUCCAGGUGUAGCGGUGAAAUGCGUAGAGAUCUGGAGGAAUACCGGUGGCGAAGGCGGCCCCCUGGACGAAGACUGACGCUCAGGUGCGAAAGCGUGGGGAGCAAACAGGAUUAGAUACCCCGGUAGUC